GACCACACCAUCUGCGCAGCCUGCACCCUCGCGGCCCGGUAAACUUGACAGUUUCUUAUAGAGCACAGAAGCCGUGGUGGUGUCAUGGAAUAUUGUCAAUUUCGGUUACAUUUCAUCAUGGUCAAGUCAACUCCAGGAGGCAGCAUCAUGGACGAUUUGGCUUAUGUUCUGCUUUUGUCUUCUACAGAACCUUGUGUCUCACUGUUGUCUCCUUCCUGGCUGGGGUUAUCACAUGGCAUAUCCAACUGUGCUGGAGAGUCAGAAUAGCUGAGUGACUGAGUGCACAAUCCCUAAAGUGCAAUUUAUGAGCUGAGUGACCUCAGGAUUCCAUGGAAAGCUUGUGUUUACCCUCAAUAGUUAGAGACGUACAAGGAUGGAGAGGGAACAGAGCCAUCUUCCCAGAACCAACUUCUGCCAGAGGAGUCCCAUGAUAAUCCCAGCCAAAAGAACGAAAACAUGAGUAAUGGCUGUGACAUAAGAAAAUCCUAAGAGAGAAAACAGAGAAAAAGUUUUACGUGAGCGCCACAUUCCAGUUUGCAGAGUUAAGAUAGAUGAGGACAUUCAUUAAAUUCAUGUAUUAAUUCUAAUUCAAGAUGCACUGAAUUUCCAUCAUGUGAAUCAGAUGUUUUAUUUAUUUCUCUCUCAUUGUAUGGAUAAUGUCUAUAACUAGAGAAUGAGACUCAAUCCUACCUUUUCUUCCAAACUGUCUAUCUUCACUAGGGUGGAGUUCUUGUCUAUGCAGUC
rnacentral:lncRNA from 1 species